rnacentral:rRNA from 1 species
UAGUGGCGAACGGGUGAGUAACACGUGGGCAAUCUGCCCUUCACUCUGGGACAAGCCCUGGNUACGGGGUCUAAUACCGGAUAACACCUGCCCGGGCAUCCGGGUGGGUUAAAAGCUCCGGCGGUGAAGGAUGAGCCCGCGGCCUAUCAGCUUGUUGGUGAGGUAGUGGCUCACCAAGGCGACGACGGGUAGCCGGCCUGAGAGGGCGACCGGCCACACUGGGACUGAGACACGGCCCAGACUCCUACGGGAGGCAGCAGUGGGGAAUAUUGCACAAUGGGCGAAAGCCUGAUGCAGCGACGCCGCGUGAGGGAUGACGGCCUUCGGGUUGUAAACCUCUUUCAGCAGGGAAGAAGCGAAAGUGACGGUACCUGCAGAAGAAGCGCCGGCUAACUACGUGCCAGCAGCCGCGGUAAUACGUAGGGCGCAAGCGUUGUCCGGAAUUAUUGGGCGUAAAGAGCUCGUAGGCGGCUUGUCACGUCGGGUGUGAAAGCCCGGGGCUUAACCCCGGGUCUGCAUUCGAUACGGGCUAGCUAGAGUGUGGUAGGGGGAGAUCGGAAUUCCU